rnacentral:snRNA from 1 species
AGGACGUGUCGGCUGCUUU